rnacentral:piRNA from 1 species
UCUGAAAUGUGCUAACCCUCCCUUACC